UUUCUUAGUUUUAUUCUGUAUUGUUACAAUCUCAUUUGGUGUCUCAAUUAUGUAUAGACAGGCACAAGCUGCAAAUUCAGAUCAAAAAUCCAGCGAUGUUUGUGUCCUAUGGGCUUGUCUGCCUUGGUUUGUUUGUACCACUACAACUAUAUAAAUAGAUGAAGGAUAAGUGACAAAUACUUUUGUAGGCGUAUCCGUGUGCCCACAUUUGAGGGUUAUUCCAUACCAUUUAAAGCUGCUUUAGUAGUGCCAAAGUUAGUGUGUAAACAUGAGAGCUAUGCAAUUGUCUGGUACAGGCAUGCUCACAUGCAGCCAAAGUCCAAUUUAGGAUUUUUAUCCCUUUUGUAUCUGAAGAGGCAUCAAUCCCACAUUUCCCUUCCAUGAACUCAGUGGGGUCUUUGUUAAUUUUGACAUAAAUCUUCAGCCUCAUCUUUGGCAUAAGUCUUCAGGCCUGAUGUAUGAGGAAAGAGGGAGUAAUAGAAGCAAGAGACACAAAACACAGCUCAUGGUAUGCACAGAACUUCUGUAAGAUUGUUCUCUGUUUUGGAACAAGGUGUGAAGCUGAUGCAGAAAAAAUAGGAAAUCGCCAGAAUUUAUGCUGAAAUCUCAUAUCUCCCUGCUGGUCUGCUGUGUGUUCACUGCAGUUGGGUUUGGAAGUUUGGGGCUGUUGGCUUUUUAAAGUAGGAAAAUGGUUCUGUUGUCUUCUGCAAGUGAAACACUUGUGUUAUUCCAGAAGUGGGAAUGAGUUUGGCUCAUGAGAGAUGUCCUGUGCUUGUAGUUAUGGAAACCUUGUGCUUCUGGAGGUCUUUUAAUAUACACCUACAUCUGCCAGUCAAGCAAGAAGCACUGGCAGAACAGGCUUUCUUGAGACUAUCUAGGAAGUCCAACAUCUAAUAUUCAUGAACUUGAAAAGGCACUGACAUGUGAAUUAAAAAAUUAGUCAAAUCUUUCAAACAUCAGGACUGUUCAGUAGAAUAGGGGAUCCUAGAGGGAUCAGUUUGUCUAGGCUUUAUUUUGCCAUGCUCUGCCAUCAUUUUUUUGCAAUGCAAGGCAAAGGACAAGUCUCCAUGCCCAAGACAUGCAGCACUUUGCUGUCUUGGGUUUUGAGGAGCAGCUCAUGCCACCAGGACCCUCUGAAAGGUUCUAGACCACACAGUCCAUGAAUAAAAAAAUUGUGCGGAGCAGUACAGUUGGGAAUCCCACCAGAGAACAGUGAAAACCCUGUGAGUGCAGGGGUCUGGGGACUGCAGGGGUGAGAAAGGCUCCUGGGAAGUGAGUGAGUCAGGAACUGGGAGCCUGCAGGGCUGCUCAUUCUAGCUCUGCUUCUCAGCUUCACUUUCCAUUUGCAAAAGGCUGGCAGCAGGCAUACGUCGCUCUUAAUCUUUCUUUUGCAUCCGUGUUUUUGCCUUUGUCAGAGCACCGUAUUAUGCGAAUUGGAAUUAAGCAAUUAAGGCGAUAAUGUUUCCCUUGAAGAGUUUGACAAGGCAGAAGGAACACAGUCUACUUUUCAUACAAGCCUUUGGUGGCAUAUUUAUCUAAAAGCAACAGGAAGAAAGAAAUGGACAUUGGUACACACGCACAUACCAGCUUUGUGACCAAGCCACCCUUCCCUCCCUGUGCAUCCCACCUUCUUACUUGUCCCAUAACACCUCAGAGGUCUUAGGUCCUCAGAGAGGCUGCUCACUUGCCACCCUCAGCACAGAGGACUCAAAGGAAGGGUCUGCCACAGCCUGUAACAAAACUGGAUCUUAAACAGAUGUUUAAAGGUCCAGCCCAACACCAUACUUCAUGCUUCAGAGCAAGGGCUUUUGUCUCUGACUCGUGGAUUGCACUUUCAUAGCUUUGCAAGGCUGGUGUGUGGGGAUGAGGAGGGGGAAUGUUGCUGUCAGCUGCUGGGAGACAAAUGUUCAGAGCUGUUCUCUGAGAGCAGUUUUUUGACUUUGCAACUUAGCUGGCAUCUUGUGUGAAUUCUUCCCAUCAGAGAUCCUCUUGUUCUAAAAGAGAUUUUCCAAUCUUCCUUCGUUUAGAUUUGCAAUGACUUUGUGAGAAAGGAGAGGGUUAUGCUAUUGAACGGUUUUGCCACUGAUUUUUAUGUCACAGUCAAAGAUGGGCUAAACUGAGGCUGCAAGUCUCAAUUGCCUUGGAAGCCAAGGUGCUGGGAAACUAGUCUGACCUCUGGAGAGUCAUGCUGCUGGUGCCUCUGCACCUUCCCUCUGUUUAGCAGAUGAGGUGGUGCCUUUUAACGCUGUUGAUAAGACAUAAAAUUCACUUUGAGUCAGUAAUUGUGCUAAGGAUCAGACCCAGGGGUACAAAUGUAAGAUUCUGAAAAAUGGCAUUGUUUUGAAUUAGCUUCACCCUGUGAUUUUUUUUCUUUCCUUGGGAUGUGGUUGGUCACCCAUGCUUUAAACCUGCUUAGCUGUUGUCAGAAGCUUAACAUUUUUUGCAUUUCCUAGAGGUCUCAGGAGGGAAAGGAGCAGAGAAUGGGGAGUUACUGGUUUGUUGCCAGUGGAGGUACACAGGGCCUCAUUCACUACUGCUCCAUUAUACCCAGAGUCACACUGGCAUAAAAAGAUGAGUCAGAGGCAGUGACUCAGGCUCCAGUGCUCUAAAUAGUCAGCAGAAGUGGCAAGCCUAGUCCCAAGUGGCACUAAUGACUGAAAGAGAGUUUAAAAAGUGUGUGGCAUAAUGUAGUGUAUUCCUCAGCUCACACAGGCACACAGGGAAUCAUUACCAGAUAGAGAUAAUUGGGUGAUUGUGUAACAGAGUGGUCACAUACACUGAUCUAUAGUAGUGCAUGGGAGGAUUAGGUUCACUUUGAAACCUCUUCCCAAGUUAUAUGAGCUAAAAUGAAGGCAGGCCCACUCAGGGCAGAUUGCUGGAAGCUGAGAGGAUAUUGUGGGGAUGGAUAACCCCUUUACUUUAAGCAUACUUCACUGCCCACUUUCAGGAAAAAGGAUUAUGGAGGCCCUUGUUUCAAGCCAGCAGGGCUCAUCUUAAGCUAAGUUGCUAGGUAGGGGUGUAAUGAGAUAAUUCAGACAGUCUGAGACCACUCUUUGCUUAUGUAAAGUAGCAUUCAUGUGGAAGCAAAAUUGUCCCAGUUGGCAUCCAUGUCAAAAGCUGCUCUCUUUACGUCUCCAUCUUGCCUGGUCACUUCCUAGAGAGGUCAGCUGAGCUUAUUCUCAGUAGCAGUUGUUUGGGCUGAAUUAGUACUCAAGGAAGCAUUGGCUCAAUCGAUCCAGAUAACUCUAUCUAGCCUUUGUUUAAACAAGGCCACAAGUUCUCACCGCCUCUAUAUCAUUUAUCUGCUGCAUAGUUCAGCAGCCAAGCUGUGUUUGUGGAGACAGGCAAAAAAAAAAAAAAACAAAAAGAGAAAAAAAUAUCCCACAACAGCUAAAGGUAAAUACCCAUUUCUUCUUUCAUUCAGGACAGUUACAGGAAAUAUUUUGUGGGUACUAUCCAGCCUUGGUCCCCUUCAUCCCUUUGCCUUGCUUGCCUAUAACUACCAAGCCCCGGUUUUGAUUUCAAUUGCUCUUUUUAUCUCUCUAGCUGAGGGUUGCCCCACAUUCCCCUCCCUUUCUCCGGCUGUUUUAAUGAGCUUGCAUUUUCAUGAAAGGCCAGAUCUGAUCGUGACUUGAAUGGCAGCUGCCAAACAGAGCUCUUAGUUUCAAACUCAGCAAGAAAAUGGCUUUGCCUCCCCCCAGAGCAGCUUAUGUACUUGAGAGCCUCAGUCAUUAUGAGCAAUUUCUAUUACGAGCUGAGUACCUUUUGUGUUCCUUGGGGUCUGCUCACACCAGUGAAGAUUAUGCCUUCUCUGUGUUUUGAACUAACAUCAGCAAAGAUUACACAAGUAUGCUGUGAAGAAUGUGACUACAGUUCUCACCCUGGAAGUCUGGUUUUUGCUGCUGGUUUGCUAGGAUAUUCCCCCUCCCUUAUUAAUAUACUUAUAUUAAAAAAAAAAAAAAAAAAAAAAAAAAAAAAAAAAAAGUUGAGUUUUUUACUUCUUCUGAAAACCUCUUCCAUUUUCUUUAUGCCUGGCAGACCUUCUCUGUGUGCUUGGCUUUUCACUGGACUGGAAGCAUUCAAAGGGUAAACACCAUGAAGGACAUGAGGAGUUUUUGGGUUUUUCUGGGGGAGGCAGGGGGCUGGUUCAAGGCUAUGUAAUUGUAAGAUGUGAGGUGUCAUUACCAAAAGAAGACAUGCUAAGGUGCCCUGAUACCCUGAUGAUGAGAUUGCAUUAAGUCCUGGCAGGAGGUCUCCAAGAAGAGGGAGAGAGGUCUCUUCUUACACCAGUUGAAGCCAGUAUGUGUGAUGGGAGGUGACAGGAGAACCCACAGUGAAUGGGUGGGACUUUUUCUGUCAAAGAGGACAGGGAAAGUGAAUCCAGUUCUUCUGCAACUUCCUCAGCCACAGCAGCUGGGCAAUCACAGAGGUGAAUUUGGGCACAGUGUGCACUCCAGCAAAGAGCCUUAGGAGAAGGCACUAUUAGGAAUUGUUCCCAAGUACCACUAUUGUCCUGGCACAGUCCAGUGACCCCUCUGACUUCUGAAGAGCAGAGAAUGAUUAGGAUGUGUUGCAGCCUGCAAGAAGAGAUUAUGUUUUCUCCUUCACCCCAUGCGUCAAGCCCCACAACUGAACCUGUGGCUUAUAGCUGCCACAGCUUUUAAAGUGAUAGGAAAUGAAGCAGCUGAGGGGAUGAGGGAUAAAAAGCGUACCAUGUUUAUCUUCUGCCUUUUUAGUAUGGCAGUGCUUUCAGAGACUUCACAGGUGCAUGAGUUCUGGGCAAAGAUAAGGUGCAUGUAAAGAGGCAUUUCUUGUCUAAGGUGUUUUGCAGUUCUGUGUAUUGGAAAAGGGAAGUCAGGAAAGCUACAAGAGACAUCUUCAGUAAAGAAGAUGGUACUAAAGACAUGAGAGAAGAACUGCAGGUGAAUACUCAAGGAAAGUAUCAUCUAUGGUUUACUUCUAGGCAUCCCUUGGCAUGAGCUUUUGGUCACUGUGGGAAGCAAGACACAAAGCUAAACAGAGUUAUUUGUUUAACCUGUACAAUAGCUUUUCUCUUCUGUUCUAUGUCAGGCUUGGCCUCCAUGGCCCCCUGGGAAGCAAAUGGAUCUUUGAUCUCUAUUCACAUCAAUGGGGAAGUCACCAAUGCCUUUUUUUCUCAAGUUUAAAGUAAUAUUCAAUCACAUGUGAAAAUACUAGCACUUCAAAUUCACAACCGGAGUUUUGGCUCUCUUAUAAUUUGCUCUGUGCCUGGCAUGUUUCUUCACGGCAGUGUCCCAUUCCAUGAACAGUUCUUCAGUCAUAUUAAGGCAGUAAAAUAUAGAUGAGGAAAUCUUACAGAUGAGAAAUUCUCUUUUGGUGGCUUUUUUAUUUGGCCACAGUAAAUGAUGAUGCAAACUGAAAGACUUCAGAUUUUGGUUUCUCACCUUUGAUUUUUGCACCUAAUCUCUGCAGCUUCAUCUGAUCGGGCAAUGUAGGAAAUCUCCCCUCUAGGCCAUUUCUCACCUUGUAUGAAGUAUUUAUAUCACUCUCUGAUCCAUUUUAUCAACAUGCCAGAAACAUUUAGGCCAUUGUUCUACCAUGUUCCUGGAAUAGCAUGGGUCCUAUUACUCCUGAACUGUUUUGCAAGGAAGCAGCCAGCGCAUGGGACCCUAAGUAACCUGACCAAGCCGGUCAAGUCAGUAGCAGAGCUGAGCUCUGAUCAUGCAUCCCCAAGGCCUGUAUUUGUGUUUCUCUCCUGAGAGAAAAUCCAUGAGCCCUACAGUCUUUUCCAGCAUUCACUUGAGUAUGCCUGCUUCCAGCAGCUCCUCCAACAUUUGAACCCCAUGCAUCAGGAAAGUAGAGUGGCCCCGUUUAUUCCCAUUAACAUGCAGGCACACACUGUUUGUCUCCCUCUGGGAACAUGAUGGGAAGAGUUUUAGUGUCAGGAAAAAUAGUAAUGAUAAUAAUAAUAACAACAGCAAUAAUAAGCAGAAAACCUUCCAGGUGUCAACUCCAUAUUUUCUGGGGCCUGGUUAAGUUGUCUGGAGCAUAGCACUCCAUCACUUUUCUCAGCAGGGUAUAGAUGCUCAUAACUUGAAGGUUUUAUCUCUGGGCUUCCUGUAUUAAAAAGGAGAAAGGAGGCAAAUCUUGCAUUCCAUGUAAGCAUAGAUGUUUAAUUAAGUAUCAUGUUUAGUUGUUCCAGACUCCUUCUUGACAGUUGCUGCAUUUUGAAAAUUGUCUCCUUGUUUUUAGUAUUGAAAAGAUAAAAAACAUCUGACUUAAAUGGUGUCUGUCCUGUGUGUCCCUCUGCACCUUGGAGUGACCUGUGCUCCAGGACUGAUGCACAGGUCCUGCUAGCAUGCAUUUGCAUUACUCUAGUGCAUGCUGCAUUUCACAUUAGUCUUAGGGUGAAAGUGUUCCGCUUUCUCUGUUCUGCUUCCAGUUGCCCUUUCUGUAUCCUAAGUCCAACCUGCCUUCUGCCCGCUCUGUGGCAUUUGUUUUUAGGUCUCUCCUCUUUCUUUUUUCUUGCUUCUUUAGGACUGGGGAAAAAAGCAAACUGCACCUUGGAGAAAUUAGUUUUCUGGGCUUUUCUUACACUGCCUUUCUUGCAAAGAUCUCAGAUCACCUGCAUCUUUCAAGAAUUAAUAAUAUAAAGCUUGCUUGCCCCUCUGCAAGACUGACCAGUUUUAUUAUCGUUGUAUGAAAUUAGCAGUCUCUUUGAAGUCUACUUAAUCUACUUUGGGACUGUGACACCUUGCAUACAGAUCCUAAGCAACACAUUCCAGGAACUAGAAAACCAGAGAGAUUGGUCAGAGUGCAGUACCUUCAGCCCACAAUCUGCCAAUCCACCUGUCAUUCCCUCCUGUGCUCCCAGAGUCACAUCCCAUGCCAUCAGGGACAUAGAGGUGUGGUUAAAACUGGUUCAUCCAGAGGCCUGGUGUUGACAGAACUUAAAGUGCCUGCCCUGUGUGUGCAAACUACUCUUGCCUUUGCCAGGAGCUCCUCUGGAUGGGGAAGAGCUGGGGUUGCCCAUGGGUCUUUUUGCAGCAUGCCCACCCCAGCCACUGCCAGCCACAUAUCACUUCCCCGCUCAGUCACUAGACAGUCACCACUCUCCAUAUCAUAGGUCUGUGGCCUUGGGACUUCUCAGGGACAUUUUGCUGAUUUUGACUGGAGUACACUUAAAUUGUAUUCCCAGUGCCUGCUAAGAAGCUGCAUUUUGGAUUUGUGCUGAACACAAGGCCGAUGAUAUAGAGAUACUUUUCUUAGUGCUAAGCAGGGCUCACACAGAGCUAAGGCUUUUCCUGCUCCUUGUACUUUCAUGCUGCAAGGAAGUGGGGGGUGCUUGCGAAACUGGGAGAAGACACAGCCAGGACAAGUGGCCCAAACUGACCAGAAGGAUAUUCCAUUCCCUAUGACAUCAUGUUCAGUAUAUAACAGCUGAAGGAAGAAAGAAGAAGGGAAGGACAUUUGGAAUGACGGUUCUUGUCUUCCCAAGUAACUGUUAGAUGAGAUGGGGCCCUGCUCUCCUGAGGAUAGCUGAACACCUGCCAGCCCAUGGGAAUGCUCCAAAAGACCAUGAGGAACCAGCAUCCCAGCCUGGCUGGAAUCAGGUGCAUUUUAGUCUCUUGGUCUCACAGUGGCAGGUACCACCAUGGCCUGUUGAAGCACAGACUCUGCUACCCACAGCACAGGGAGACUUUAUAAUUCCGUGGCUACAGCAACCCUACAGUUCAAAUAUAAAGGGGGACCUAUGGCAGGAGACCACAAGAGCAGAGGCAGGAUAGAAAUGCAAGGGGAGGUGAAAGAGAGAGACAAUAGUUAAAAUAAAAAAGAAAGAUAAAGAGUGA